rnacentral:rRNA from 1 species
GGGUUGUGAGGUUAAGCGACUAAGCGUACACGGUGGAUGCCCUGGCAGUCAGAGGCGAUGAAGGACGUGCUAAUCUGCGAUAAGCGUCGGUAAGGUGAUAUGAACCGUUAUAACCGGCGAUUUCCGAAUGGGGAAACCCAGUGUGAUUCGUCACACUAUCAUUAACUGAAUCCAUAGGUUAAUGAGGCGAACCGGGGGAACUGAAACAUCUAAGUACCCCGAGGAAAAGAAAUCAACCGAGAUUCCCCCAGUAGCGGCGAGCGAACGGGGAGCAGCCCAGAGCCUGAAUCAGUGUGUGUGUUAGUGGAAGCGUCUGGAAAGGCGCGCGAUACAGGGUGACAGCCCCGUACACAAAAAUGCACAUGCUGUGAGCUCGAUGAGUAGGGCGGGACACGUGGUAUCCUGUCUGAAUAUGGGGGGACCAUCCUCCAAGGCUAAAUACUCCUGACUGACCGAUAGUGAACCAGUACCGUGAGGGAAAGGCGAAAAGAACCCCGGCGAGGGGAGUGAAAAAGAACCUGAAACCGUGUACGUACAAGCAGUGGGAGCACGCUUAGGCGUGUGACUGCGUACCUUUUGUAUAAUGGGUCAGCGACUUAUAUUCUGUAGCAAGGUUAACCGAAUAGGGGAGCCGAAGGGAAACCGAGUCUUAACUGGGCGUUAAGUUGCAGGGUAUAGACCCGAAACCCGGUGAUCUAGCCAUGGGCAGGUUGAAGGUUGGGUAACACUAACUGGAGGACCGAACCGACUAAUGUUGAAAAAUUAGCGGAUGACUUGUGGCUGGGGGUGAAAGGCCAAUCAAACCGGGAGAUAGCUGGUUCUCCCCGAAAGCUAUUUAGGUAGCGCCUCGUGAAUUCAUCUCCGGGGGUAGAGCACUGUUUCGGCAAGGGGGUCAUCCCGACUUACCAACCCGAUGCAAACUGCGAAUACCGGAGAAUGUUAUCACGGGAGACACACGGCGGGUGCUAACGUCCGUCGUGAAGAGGGAAACAACCCAGACCGCCAGCUAAGGUCCCAAAGUCAUGGUUAAGUGGGAAACGAUGUGGGAAGGCCCAGACAGCCAGGAUGUUGGCUUAGAAGCAGCCAUCAUUUAAAGAAAGCGUAAUAGCUCACUGGUCGAGUCGGCCUGCGCGGAAGAUGUAACGGGGCUAAACCAUGCACCGAAGCUGCGGCAGCGACACUAUGUGUUGUUGGGUAGGGGAGCGUUCUGUAAGCCUGUGAAGGUGUACUGUGAGGUAUGCUGGAGGUAUCAGAAGUGCGAAUGCUGACAUAAGUAACGAUAAAGCGGGUGAAAAGCCCGCUCGCCGGAAGACCAAGGGUUCCUGUCCAACGUUAAUCGGGGCAGGGUGAGUCGACCCCUAAGGCGAGGCCGAAAGGCGUAGUCGAUGGGAAACAGGUUAAUAUUCCUGUACUUGGUGUUACUGCGAAGGGGGGACGGAGAAGGCUAUGUUGGCCGGGCGACGGUUGUCCCGGUUUAAGCGUGUAGGCUGGUUUUCCAGGCAAAUCCGGAAAAUCAAGGCUGAGGCGUGAUGACGAGGCACUACGGUGCUGAAGCAACAAAUGCCCUGCUUCCAGGAAAAGCCUCUAAGCAUCAGGUAACAUCAAAUCGUACCCCAAACCGACACAGGUGGUCAGGUAGAGAAUACCAAGGCGCUUGAGAGAACUCGGGUGAAGGAACUAGGCAAAAUGGUGCCGUAACUUCGGGAGAAGGCACGCUGAUAUGUAGGUGAAGCGACUUGCUCGUGGAGCUGAAAUCAGUCGAAGAUACCAGCUGGCUGCAACUGUUUAUUAAAAACACAGCACUGUGCAAACACGAAAGUGGACGUAUACGGUGUGACGCCUGCCCGGUGCCGGAAGGUUAAUUGAUGGGGUCAGCGCAAGCGAAGCUCUUGAUCGAAGCCCCGGUAAACGGCGGCCGUAACUAUAACGGUCCUAAGGUAGCGAAAUUCCUUGUCGGGUAAGUUCCGACCUGCACGAAUGGCGUAAUGAUGGCCAGGCUGUCUCCACCCGAGACUCAGUGAAAUUGAACUCGCUGUGAAGAUGCAGUGUACCCGCGGCAAGACGGAAAGACCCCGUGAACCUUUACUAUAGCUUGACACUGAACAUUGAGCCUUGAUGUGUAGGAUAGGUGGGAGGCUUGGAAGUGUGGACGCCAGUCUGCAUGGAGCCGACCUUGAAAUACCACCCUUUAAUGUUUGAUGUUCUAACGUGGACCCGUGAUCCGGGUUGCGGACAGUGUCUGGUGGGUAGUUUGACUGGGGCGGUCUCCUCCUAAAGAGUAACGGAGGAGCACGAAGGUUGGCUAAUCCUGGUCGGACAUCAGGAGGUUAGUGCAAUGGCAUAAGCCAGCUUGACUGCGAGCGUGACGGCGCGAGCAGGUGCGAAAGCAGGUCAUAGUGAUCCGGUGGUUCUGAAUGGAAGGGCCAUCGCUCAACGGAUAAAAGGUACUCCGGGGAUAACAGGCUGAUACCGCCCAAGAGUUCAUAUCGACGGCGGUGUUUGGCACCUCGAUGUCGGCUCAUCACAUCCUGGGGCUGAAGUAGGUCCCAAGGGUAUGGCUGUUCGCCAUUUAAAGUGGUACGCGAGCUGGGUUUAGAACGUCGUGAGACAGUUCGGUCCCUAUCUGCCGUGGGCGCUGGAGAACUGAGGGGGGCUGCUCCUAGUACGAGAGGACCGGAGUGGACGCAUCACUGGUGUUCGGGUUGUCAUGCCAAUGGCACUGCCCGGUAGCUAAAUGCGGAAGAGAUAAGUGCUGAAAGCAUCUAAGCACGAAACUUGCCCCGAGAUGAGUUCUCCCUGACUCCUUGAGAGUCCUGAAGGAACGUUGAAGACGACGACGUUGAUAGGCCGGGUGUGUAAGCGCAGCGAUGCGUUGAGCUAACCGGUACUAAUGAACCGUGAGGCUUAACCUUACAACGCCGAAG